rnacentral:rRNA from 1 species
UACGGGGGGGAGCAAGCGUUGUUCGGAUUUACUGGGCGUAAAGCGCACGUAGGCGGCUUUGUAAGUUAGAGGUGAAAGCCCGGGGCUCAACCCCGGAAUUGCCUUUAAGACUGCAUCGCUAGAAUUGUGGAGAGGUAAGUGGAAUUCCGAGUGUAGAGGUGAAAUUCGUAGAUAUUAGGAAGAACACCAGUGGCGAAGGCGGCUCACUGGUCCGGUACUGACGCUGAGGUGCGAAAGCGUGGGGAGCAAACAGG